AACCCUAGUGAUUAAAGGGGUGGCAGGUGGUGUGGGCAGGUUGCCUUCACCUGCUGUAACUCUUUCUGUUUCCUGUGGGACACUUGCCAACUGUGGCUUUCAACACCCAGGAAACCUCUCCCUGGCUGGCAAGAAUGCGGGGAGUUUUCAUGGUAAUUGCAUUUCCUCCCCAAAAGGCCCUGCCCUUCGGAGCCUGGCCCCUGUGUUGCUACCCAGGUAUUUCACAAACACCCACUGCCUGCCGGUGCUGGGUCAUUCUCACCCUGCCCCUGCACACACACCUCUUGGCCCUGCCCACCGGUGUCCUCUUAGCUGUGACAGCCACACUAACUUCAUUUCCCACAUUUACAACCACAAGUUUCUUAGAAAAAAUUUCCCUGACUGCCAAGAUUCCACAGGUAACAUGAUAGUCUGAUUCCACAGGUAACAUUCUCACACUGUGCUAGCACCAGAGAUCUGCACCUGGAGGAAAGAGAAAUCUUGACAUGGGUCUUAGCCAAGUAGAAAGCAGAUAACAUAUCUUCCAGAGGCAGUGGGCAGAGGCUGAGGGCUGAGGCCGAGAUUCAACGAUGAGACAAGGACAUAUUACCUCUACAGCAGCCACAGGCCUCUCCUCAGAGCUACCAAGAAAUUUUAAAAUCAAACCUGCACUGAGCUGAAGAGAAUAAAGGUAAUUUCCUGUUGGCUGCGAAGGCAUACUGACAUCUACAGCACUUCCCAGCCGAGGUUUUCAACCUCCAAUCACCAUUUGCUUUUCAGUUUUGAAAAGGUUAGCAUUUCUGUUUCUUUAGUUAAUGACUAGACCUCUUGAGCCCCUUGUCUAGUGUCUUCAAGCACCUCGAGAACCUGCCUGCCCAAUGGCCCACAAGUCACAGAUUUUUCAAUAAGGGGGAUAACAAGCCCAUUUUCUGAACUAUGUCUCUCCAAAAUUGCCAUGUUAAAAUCCAGACUGGCAGUAUCUCAAAAUGUGACCUUGUUUGGAGACAGGGCCUUUACAGAAGUAAUCAAGUGAAAAUGACCAGCAUGACCAGUGUCCCUCUGCGCACAGAGGGAAGACCAGGUGCAGACAUGGAGAGGAUGGCCAUCCACAGCCCUAUUCUUGCAACUUUUAUCUAAGUUUGAAAUAUUUUCAAAAUACAGGUAAAAUUUUAAAUAAAAAUAAAGAUAGAAUGAAAGAGAGUCAAGCUCCUGGGAAGCCCACUACAGAUCCUGGGGGAGCAGAGGCCUGGAAGGACCUACAGGAUCUGGGCAAGAGGGCUGGGAUUUAAAUCCAGUUUUUAAAUGACUUUAUUUUACCGUGAUUUUCCCUCCAAAUGUCUAAUGUCCUUGUAAUAUUAAAGGAUCCUGGGAUUUGAAUCUAGAAAGAAUCAUGGAUGCAGUUCCUGUCCAACAAGUGGUUGAACAAAGCCUUGCAUUGCUUCUGGUGACCCUCAUGCUUGGCUUUUACAGUCCAGCCGGUGGAGGGGCCCCUGUGGUUUGGGGAUGUGGUCUCCUCUUUCCAUCAGCCACAAAGGCUCGCUUGAUUUAGCGGGACGGUUCCAGAUCAGGCUUCCCACCGACCCAUCGUCACCUCUGAUGAUCUGCUCCAAUGGCAUCUGUGACUCUGGUAAAACCCUGCUCCCUGGAGAAAGAAAACAAAGCAAUUUCAGCAAAUGGUAAAGGAAAGGCCUGGCUCUUACUGGAAGCCCACGCUCAACCAGGCUCUAUCUCGUCCGUAACUGCACCUGCCUCGCUCUCCCAAACGCAUGCUCGUGCCCUGUACAGUGUCUUCACCCUGGAAUCUACCCAGGUCUUCAGGCCAGGGAGGGAAUCAAUUUUAAGAACCGACAGCUCCUGACAUCAAGCCAGUGUUACUGAAUGCCACCAGAACUCCUCGGGCCUAUGAACACCAUUGCCUUGGAAGUUAAUCUUGAAUUCCUUGGCACUGUUUGACCUUUGUCAAAAGAGCAACAGGGUAAGUUUCCCCUGCGUUUGGGGUGUACCCCUCAAAUGCAUUUUCAAUGAAGAAUAAAGACUGAUGAAUAGCAUCCCCUUGAUUUGAGUCAUUCUGAGUUGAUACCACAUUAACUUUGCCUGGUUCAAGCCACAGGUGGCCCCACUCACUUCAAAAGGGCCUCCAGCUCCCGCUUGACUCUGCCCACCAGGGGCGGCCCCCGGUAGGUGAGGGCUGUGUACAGCUGCACCAGGGAGGCCCCCGCCCGGAUCUUCUCCAGCGCGUCCUGCCCGCUGCUGACACCGCCAACCCCGAUGAUGGGAACUCUACCUGCAGAGAAGCACACAGCACACUGUGAGGAAGGCUGGGUGACAGGAGAGCCAGGAGCUGUUUGGCUGCAGCCCCGGCCCGCUGCUGAGUGCAGCAGUUCAGGAACCCCGAUACCAUCACAGACUCGGCGCCUGAGCCACACGUAGAUCUGAAGACAGGGACACCAGAUUCUUGCCUUGGGAAACACCGCUCUCAAUUAUGCAAAAGACCCCAUCAAGGCAGAGCUGAUUCCACUCUCUUGAACCAAGAGAUCCCCAAGAGUGAGUCCCUAAUGUCAUUGGCAUUGGCUAAUAUAUCAAGGUUUAUUUAGACUUUUGUUCCUAAAAGAGACAGCAAAUACUGUCACAAGCACGGUUUAAUGAAAAGUCAUUCUAUUCAAUGUGCUAGAUGCUAGGGACAGGGUGGUAAAUGAGAGAUGUGGUCCCUGCUCUCACGGACCUUGUGGGUUAACAGCAGGGAUACAUAACUGAGCAGCUGACUAAUACUGAGCACAAUCAGUGUUAUACCGGGAAUCAGAGGGAAGCAAGGGGUCCUAACUGGUCCAGGUCUUAAGGACAACUGCUCGAUAGUGGAUAGCAACGUUGAAGCUUUGCCCUAGAGGAUGAGCAGGUAGGACAGGCUGGUGGAGCGGGAUGUAAUUGCCCACCUUGGUCAGCAGGCGGCGCAGCUCGGCCUUUCCCUGAAGGCUCCUCAGCCCAGCUGUGUUGGGACUGGACACAUUCACUACCAGGUAGUCAGCCAAGGGGCCCAGGACUCGAACCCCCUCUGCGUAGUCCGAGGCAGCGUCCACCGAGGUCUUAUUCUUCCCCAGGUUUAUUCCCAGUGGCAGCCCAUCUGUAAAUAUCACUGGUCAGGAUUUUGUCCCCACUCACCGUUUCCCGUGCAACAUUCUGAAGCCAUCCUUGACCGAAGAGCCCACGAACAGCCUCACAGGCUCUCCAACUCCAAAUGUGACCUUUCCCGCGCCAGCUGACAAACGCUGACUUACGCACGGCGCUGUUGCCUGCGGGCCAAGAACCGAGCCCUCCACCUUCAUCUGCGCAGCUGGGUUUGGGCAGCUCCUAGGAUGUUUUACCGCUUUGUGCCCUUUUUCUUUUUUAAGAUUUAAUGGAAAAUGGAGAAAUUAGGAGCGCAAAUACUAGUGUUUAAAAAGGUAGGGCUCGUAAAUGAAAUACGACUGAGAAGAGACAAAAGUCAGUAGCAUGCCACAGGGGCAGCUGUUUACCCUCAAGGGCUGCUUGUUAGACUUGGGUCACGUGACUGGGUGUGCAGUCAUGAAGAAAAAGCAAAAUUAAAGGAUAUGUAUAAAAUACUGGAAAAUAUUUUCGAUUCUCAUGCCUAAAAUGUAGAGGCAUAACGGUUUUAUAAUUUCCAUUCUCUGAGAAGGGACUCCCCCUUGUAACUAGGGUGACCACACAUCCCAGUGCUCCCAGGACAGCCCUGAAUACUCCUGUAGCCUGGGCAUAAUUAUUCAUGCCUGCAUCCCUUCCACUCUCAAAAGUGUUGUCUCAGUUUGCACAGUAAGUAAUAUGGUCACCUUACUUUAAAAUCCAGGGAAUUAUCACCUGACUUGUGUUUUCGACUUUCAGUGUGUUUCUGAAAUGUAUUUUUCUAUGUGUGAAAGCAAGGGCUUGUCUGUACUUGACUUCUCCUAAGAUACUACCUUAUCUGCAAAGGCUAAAGUAUAUACAUGGUACCACCUGCUUUUUCCAGCUAACUGGGACGUCCAGUUAGCUCACAAAAUGUAUGUCAGGUCAGGGAGGAUCAAAGAACAACAUCCAGUACUGCUAACUACCUUCUCACACCUUAAAUGCAGUCACCUGUUUUAUCAUCAACUUGAAAGUAAAUGAAAUUCGUGUCACUCACUUCAUGAGUGGAAGGGAGGGGAGGGGUUUAGCAUCCAGUUAGACAAAUUAUAUAACAAGGUCUCCAAGCCUCCCAAAUCAAGUGAAGAUGGUUUGGAAACUGUAAUUCUUUUCCACACAGGUAAACCAGCUUAAUAGAGAAUAUCACUUUCAUGUAGCCAGUGGAUCUUUCAUUAGUAGCCAUUUGCCCCAAAUGACAAGAUUUUGGAGUUAGACAAAAAUUGCUGAAUUACUCUACCCGCAAAGGGCACCACAGCUCUUAACAACUCAUGUUGCUUGGUAUGAUGCUAACAAUAAGCUGUCUUCAAGGCUUCCAGCUGCCGGUGAACACUAUGUGCAGAGCUCUGCUAUGGGAUUUUGUCUCCAACAAAUGUCAGCACCACAGUGGGGGGCGAGGAACGGGCAAGGGAGAACGGGAGAAAAGUGGUAUAAGGGGCACUGUGAACAGUUAAAAGAAGGAAAGGGAGACAAGAAGGCAGGAGAGUAUCACAAACCAUGAAAGUCCUAUCAUGACCUUCAAAGCCCACAAGUGGCAAGGUCUAUCUACAGUAUAGCAGGGUCUGGUUCUGCCAAAGCCAGGGAAUUCCAAACAAGGUCAUUUCCUACUCCCCAAAUCAGAGAUUGCUAAUUGCCUCGGCCCUUUCAAUCUCGCGUUCAGAAAUGAAUCCAGUACCGCAGGUUUUUCUCAUCUCACCACCAGGACAUCUAAUGAGGCUAAACUCCUGGAAGGAGUUCCAGAAAGGCCCACCAAGGAAGAUGGCUGCAACCCCAUGCAACCCUAGAGGGCACCUGGGAAGGUACAGUGAGGAUGGCAUGGUGCCAAGACCACUAUGUUCACCCCAAGGGACAGCAAGGCAGGGAGCCCCAGGGAAUGAGUAUCAGCACCUCCAAGGCAGCCUUCAGAAAUGCAUGGUGUGGGCUUCCCUGGUGGCGCAGUGGUUAAGAAUCUGUCUGCUAAUGCAGGGGACACCGGUUCGAGCCCUGGUCCAGGAAGAUCCCACAUGCCGCAGAGCAACUAAGCCCCUGCGCCACGACUACUGAGCCCGCGUGCUGUACCUACUGAAGCCCACGUGCUAGAGCCGGUGCUCCGCAACAAGAGAAGCCACUUUAAUGAGAAACCCAUGCAAUGCAACAAAGAGUAGCCCCUGCUCGCUGCAACUAGAGAAAGCCCUAGUGCAGCAACGAAGACCCAAUGCAGACAAAAAUAAAUUAAUGAAUUAAAAAAAAUGCAUGGUGUUUCCAAAUAAGUCAUGAAGGAUAUUUUCCCCAAUGCCAGGAGUAGUUAUCUCUGAGUAGGGAAGAGUGUGAGUAAUUUUAAUGUUCUUCUUUAUGCUUCCCUGCAUUUACUAACACUUCUAUAAUUAGCAUUCAUUAUUUAUAACGGACAAAAGGACAACAGAGCAGGAUGUACAAAGAUGGCGCCCAAGCCCUGCUCGCAUCAACUGCCUAUGUGAUCACAGAGCAGCCACUCUGCACUGCUUACUUCCAAGCUGUCCCAGUUUGACACAGGUUACAUAACCAGGCAGGAACUAAGUGGAUCUUUGCUCAGUUGCGAAAUUCAGUUAAGAGCUUGGAGGGUGUGAUGGAGCCAGGAAAAUUCCUCUAGCAGAGGAGCCCUGAGUUCCAUACUGUUUUUUCCUAUUGUUCAAUCAUGUUCACUUCACUAGGAAUGUUCCUGACUUUCUCCCACAAGUUUCCUUCCAACAACUGAAGAACAGCCCUCUUAGGCAGGCCCCCUUUACCUUCUGUGAGCCUGGCCUGCGUCUGCUGUCUGGCCCGUAACCUGUGUUCCACCACUGAGAGUCCAUGACUGUUGAAUCCGUAUCUGUAGCACAGAAGAGCGUUAGGGAGGAGAUAAGGUUAGAGCCCUCAGGCAGAAAGCAAAGA